rnacentral:snoRNA from 1 species
GGCCUCCUGGUGCUUACCACAGGCUGUGUUCUUACACUGACUAUAGAAAGAGGAGGAAAAAUAAACCCACCCUGUAUGUACCUCAGCCCAGUUCUUGUGCCUGGUCAGUAUUGUGAAUGGGGAGAAAUGG